UGAAACAAAAACAAAUUUGACAGAUUAUGACGUACCUGUGGAUUAGCGACGGAGGUCUUCAACGGUGGAGUAGCGACGGAGGGUCGAUGGCUGAACGGAGGUCUUCAACUGUGGAGUAGCGACGGAGGGUCGAUGGCUUAACGGAGGUCUUCGACUGUGGAGUAGCGACAGAGGGUCGAUGGCUGAACGGAGGUCUUCGACUGUGGAGCGGCGGCGGCUUUUUUUUUUUUUGAGAAAGAGGGUUCGUGAC
rnacentral:lncRNA from 1 species